rnacentral:rRNA from 1 species
AUUGAACGCUGGCGGCAGGCCUAACACAUGCAAGUCGAGCGGUAGAGAGGAGCUUGCUUCUCUUGAGAGCGGCGGACGGGUGAGUAAUGCCUAGGAAUCUGCCUGGUAGUGGGGGAUAACGUUCGGAAGCGGACGCUAAUACCGCAUACGUCCUACGGGAGAAAGUGGGGGAUCUUCGGAUCUCACGCUAUCAGAUGAGCCUAGGUCGGAUUAGCUAGUUGGUGAGGUAAAGGCUCACCAAGGCGACGAUCCGUAACUGGUCUGAGAGGAUGAACAGUCACACUGGAACUGAGAAAAGGUCCAGACUCCUACGGGAGGCAGCAGUGGGGAAUAUUGGACAAUGGGCGCAAGCCUGAUCCAGCCAUGCAGCGUGUGUGAAGAAGGUCUUCGGAUUGUAAAGCACUUUAAGUUGGGAGGAAGGUCAGUAGCUUAAUACGUUGCUGAUUUGACGUUACCGACAGAAUAAGCACCGGCUAACUCUGUGCCAGCCGCCGCAGUAAGAC